rnacentral:rRNA from 1 species
UACGUAGGGGGCUAGCGUUGUCCGGAAUCAUUGGGCGUAAAGAGCGCGUAGGCGGCCAGAUAAGUCCGGUGUGAAAGUCAAAGGCUCAACCUUUGAAUGCCGCUGGAAACUGUCUGGCUAGAGUCCGGAAGGGGCGAGUGGAAUUCCUGGCGUAGCGGUGAAAUGCGCAGAUAUCAGGAGGAACACCAAUGGCGAAGGCAGCUCGCUGGAACGGUACUGACGCUGAGGCGCGAAAGCGUGGGGAGCGAACAGG